AAUUGUUCCUGUCAACACAAAGAAGGCAUAUGACGCGAUCAACAUGUAACCAAAGUACAAUAUGCCUGAAACCAACUUGCUGAUCUCCAACUUGGUGAAGAAAUAGAAAAUAGAGUAGAGAAACAAGUAUAACGCAGAGGAUCCAGCAGUCAGAUAAGCUCUCCACCACCAAUUAUAGUCUUCACUGCACAACUGGAAGUAGCAGAGCACAACAGUUAUCUCUGCACAUGUGAUUAUCAAGAUAACGAAAACAAUGAAGAGGAAGCCAAAGAUGUAGUAGAACUGGUUCAGCCAUAUGGACGUCAAGAUGAAGAAUAGCUCGAUGAAAACAGCUCCAAAAGGAAGGAUGCCCCCAAUAAGUACCGAAAAGGCCGGUUUCAUAUACCAUGCUUGCUCUGGUACUUGCCUAGGGAUUUUGUUCGUCUUGACAGGGUCUUCAAUGGCUGGUUUUUUGUAACCAAGGUAGCUACCAACAAAUACUAAAGGUACUGAAAUCCCAAACCACAAGCACACUAGAGCCAACAUAGUCCCGAAUGGCAAUGCUCCAGAAGAAUGCUCUUCCCAGAUAAGAGCAUUCAGCACAAAGAAGAUGGCAAAAAGUAUUCCAGGGAACAUAAAAGCAGUUUUCAAGGUAAUCCUUUUCCACUCUGUUCCUUUGAACAUUUUGUAGAAACGAGCAGAAGAAUAGCCGGCUAACAAUCCCAUGAAAACCCAUAGUAGAACCAUAGCAGUCAUAAGCCCACCACGAUUCGAAGGUGAUAAGAAACCCAGAAGAGCAAAAAUCAUCGUCACAAGUGUCAUACCAAAUAUUUGGACACCAGUUCCAACAUAAACACACAGUAACCCAGAAUUAGUUGGUG
rnacentral:misc_RNA from 1 species